rnacentral:rRNA from 1 species
UACGAAGGGGGCUAGCGUUGCUCGGAAUUACUGGGCGUAAAGGGCUCGUAGGCGGCCAACUAAGUCAGACGUGAAAUCCCUCGGCUUAACCGGGGAACUGCAUCUGAUACUGGAUGGCUUGAGUUCGGGAGAGGGAUGCGGAAUUCCAGGUGUAGCGGUGAAAUGCGUAGAUAUCUGGAGGAACACCGGUGGCGAAGGCGGCAUCCUGGACCGGCACUGACGCUGAGGAGCGAAAGCCAGGGGAGCAAAGCGG